rnacentral:rRNA from 1 species
ACUCCUACGGGAGGCAGCAGUGAGGAAUAUUGGACAAUGGAGGCAACUCUGAUCCAGCCAUGCCGCGUGCAGGAAGACUGCCCUAUGGGUUGUAAACUGCUUUUAUACAGGAAGAAACCACUCUACGUGUAGAGUUCUGACGGUACUGUAAGAAUAAGGAUCGGCUAACUCCGUGCCAGCAGCCGCGGUAAUACGGAGGAUCCAAGCGUUAUCCGGAAUCAUUGGGUUUAAAGGGUCCGUAGGUGGAUGAUUAAGUCAGAGGUGAAAGUCUGCAGCUCAACUGUAGAAUUGCCUUUGAUACUGGUUAUCUUGAGUUAUUAUGAAGUAGUUAGAAUAUGUAGUGUAGCGGUGAAAUGCAUAGAUAUUACAUAGAAUACCAAUUGCGAAGGCAGAUUACUAAUAAUAUACUGACACUGAUGGACGAAAGCGUGGGGAGCGAACAGGAUUAGAUACCCUGGUAGGACAGUG